AUUCCAAUCGAACUCGGAGAUAGCUGGUUCUCCUCGAAAUAGCUUUAGGGCUAGCGUCGUGUUAGUAGCACAUGGGGGUAGAGCUCUGUAAAGGACUGGGGCGGGCAACUGUACCCACCCUUAACAAACUACGAAUACCAUGUGUGUAAUCACGGCAGUUAGAACAUCGGUGCUAAGAUCGGUGCUCAAAAGGGAAACAGCCCAGACCAUCAUCUAAGGUCCCUAAAUUAACGUUCAGUGGGAAACAAGGUGAGAUUUCUUAAACAGCUAGGAUGUUGGCUUAGAAGCAGCCAUUCAUUUAAAGAGUGCGUAACAGCUCACUAGUCAAGAGAUCUUGCGUGGAAAAUGUAACGGGGCUAAAACGUUAUACCGAAGAUAUGGAUGUCAGAUUUAUCUGGCGUGGUAGAGGAGCGUUCCUAUCAGCAGUGAAGUCGAAUCGGAAGGUUCGGUGGAGCGGUAGGAAGUGAGAAUGCUGGAAUGAGUAACCAUAAGAGAGGUGAGAAUCCUCUCGGCCAUAAGAGCAAGGUUUCCUGAGCCAUGGUAAUCAUCUCAGGGUUAGUCGGGCCUAAGCCGAGGCGCAGAGCGUAGGCGAUGGACAUCAGGUUAAUAUUCCUGAACCGGUUAAGUUUUGUACACUGUUCACGGGGAAGUAAUCGAAGCGGAUUCAUGGUUUAUCCGUCCAACCGAGCGGGAACGCAAAGGGAGUGAAAGUGAUUCUUCGGAGUCGCGAUUUUGGUGAAAGCCCUGGCUAGAAAAGCAGGUGUACGCGUGGACUUAGCCGCCCGUACCGCAAACCAACACAGGUGCUCGAGUCGAGUAGACUCAGGCUUACGAGCGAACCUUCGCUAAGGAACUCGGCAAUACAGCGACCGUAACUUCGGGAUAAGGUCUGCCCCCACUUCGGUGGAUAUCAGCCGCGUUCACUCAGUGAAUAUUAGGUUAAAGAGUACAUUUUUAAUCACAAAACGAAUUUUCUGAGAUAGAGCAAACGAAUUGUUCUUUUGAACGCGAACCUCUGACAUCUAACGAUGUGGGGGCCGCAGCAAAAGAGCCCACGGAACUGUUUAUCAAAAACACAGGUCUCUGCUAACACGAAAGUGGAUGUAUAGGGGCUGACUCCUGCCCAAUGCUGGAAGGUUAAGGGGAGCGCUUCACGGUGCGAACUGAAGCCCUAGUCAAUGGCGGCGGUAACUAUAACCGUCCUAAGGUAGCGAAAUUCCUUGUCAGGUAAGUUCUGACCCGCACGAAUGGAGUAAUCAUGUGGGCACUGUCUCAGCGAAGGACUCGGUGAAAGUGCAUUGGCGGUAAAGAUGCCGUCUGUCCGUACCAGGACGAAAAGACCCCAUGGAGCUUUACUACAGCUUUACAUUGAAUAUGGUUUCAACAUGUGUAGCAUAGGUGGGAGACUUUGAAGCAGAUACGCCAGUAUUUGUGGAGUCACCAAGUGAAAUACCACCCUUGUUGUGAUUGUGUUCUCACGCUGACCGUUAUCCGGUUAGCGGACCGUGUAUGUAGUUUAACUGGGGCGGUUGCCUCCUAAAGAGUAACGGAGGCGUUCAAAGGUUGGCUAACUUCGGAUGGAAAUCGAAGUGAUAGUGUAUGCGCAUAAGCCAGCUUGACUGUGAGGAGUACAUUCCAAUCAGAGACGAAAGUCGGAGCAAGUGAUCCGCUGUACGUACAUUUGUACAUGAAUGUGGGAUCGACAGCGCAAACGGAUAAAAGUUACCCUGGGGAUAACAGGCUUAUAGCGCCCAAUAGUUCACAUAGACGGCGCUGUUUGGCACCUCGAUGUCGGCUCAUCACAUCCUGGAGGGGGAGCACCUUCCAAGGGUUCGGCUGUUCGCCGAUUAAAGCGGUACGCGAGCUGGGUUCAGAACGUCGUGAGACAGUUCGGUUUAUAUCCGGUAUGGACGAUAGGAAACUUGAGAGGAUCUACCCCUAGUACGAGAGGACCGGGGCGGACGCACCUCUGGUGUAUCGAUUGUGGCCACCUGCUGCAUUGUCGAGUAGCUAUGUGCGGACUAGAUAAGCGCUGAAAGCAUAUUAAGCGCGAAACUAACCU
rnacentral:rRNA from 1 species